UACGAAGGGGGCUAGCGUUGCUCGGAAUUACUGGGCGUAAAGCGCACGUAGGCGGUCUUUUAAGUCGGUGGUGAAAUCCUGGAGCUCAACUCCAGAACUGCCUUCGAUACUGGAAGACUUGAGUCCGGGAGAGGUGAGUGGAACUGCGAGUGUAGAGGUGAAAUUCGUAGAUAUUCGCAAGAACACCAGUGGCGAAGGCGGCUCACUGGCCCGGUACUGACGCUCAGGUGCGAAAGCCAGGGGAGCGAACGGG
rnacentral:rRNA from 1 species